rnacentral:rRNA from 1 species
GAUGAACGCUGGCGGCGUGCCUAAUACAUGCAAGUCGAGCGAACAGACGAGGAGCUUGCUCCUCUGACGUUAGCGGCGGACGGGUGAGUAACACGUGGAUAACCUACCUAUAAGACUGGGAUAACUUCGGGAAACCGGAGCUAAUACCGGAUAAUAUAUUGAACCGCAUGGUUCAAUAGUGAAAGACGGUUUUGCUGUCACUUAUAGAUGGAUCCGCGCCGCAUUAGCUAGUUGGUAAGGUAACGGCUUACCAAGGCGACGAUGCGUAGCCGACCUGAGAGGGUGAUCGGCCACACUGGAACUGAGACACGGUCCAGACUCCUACGGGAGGCAGCAGUAGGGAAUCUUCCGCAAUGGGCGAAAGCCUGACGGAGCAACGCCGCGUGAGUGAUGAAGGUCUUAGGAUCGUAAAACUCUGUUAUUAGGGAAGAACAAAUGUGUAAGUAACUAUGCACGUCUUGACGGUACCUAAUCAGAAAGCCACGGCUAACUACGUG